rnacentral:rRNA from 1 species
AUGGCGAAUGAAGCGGCAAGAGCCCAAAUUUGAAAUCGGGCAACCGAGUUGUAAUUUGGAGACGGGACACUAGAGAGGAGGAAGGCGAUUAAGUGCCUUGGAACAGGCUGCCGUAGAGGGUGAGAGCCCCGUGAAUCGCUGGAGACCGAUCAAUUAGUGCCCGCCGAAGAGUCGAGUUGUUUGGGAAUGCAGCUCUAAGUGGGUGGUAUAUUCCAUCUAAGGCUAAAUAUUAGCGAGAGACCGAUAGCAAACAAGUACAGUGAUGGAAAGAUGAAAAGAACUUUGGAAAGAGAGUGAAAUAGUACGUGAAAUUGUUGAAAGGGAAGGGUAUUUGAUCCGACAUGGUGUUUAGCAGCGGCCCGUUCCUCGUGGAUGGGUGCACCUGGUUUACACUGGGCCAGCAUCGGUUCUGGGAGCCAUAUACGGGGUUCGUGAAUGUGGCCCUUCGAUUCUGUCGGAGGGUGUUAUAGCGCGGACAUCUUGUGGCUAGCCGGGACCGGGGACUGCGGUGACUUGUCACCAAGGAUGCUGGCAGAACGAGCAAAUACCACCCGUCUUGAA